AGGGAAAUCAGAAAUCUGUAGCAGCGAAACCCUACAUUCACGACGGGAGCGGGGAAUAUGCGGGACCCUAAAACAGCCCCAAAGGCGGAAACUCGUAGUAAGACUCCACAAUCAGGGAAAUAGGGCCUGGAGCGAGCCCCUACAAGCAGGGAUGAAGGGACGGCUGGCGGAGCCCACAAGCAAGGCCGGUGAACCAGCCAGCCAGCGUCCCGGCCCCGCCAGCGCGUGGUUGGUGGCCGGGGCUCAGUGUUACCUUGGCUGUGGGAGGGAGCGCACACGCCGCGGCCCCUCGUUCGCGGCGACCUUCACGCACACCGCCUGCCCACGCUUUUUUAACUUCUUAUAUGAGUGGCUCCGUUUUGCUCAAUUUUGAAGGCAGACCAAUGUUUUGUUUUUGACUUUAGCGGACUGAUGAAAAGCAACUUGAGUUUGUUUUGCCUCCACAACGGAACAGUACAACACUAGUGAUUUAUUAGGUGAAGAAACUUGUGCCUGGACGUACCUCGGUGCCUGGAAAGAGAGAGAGAAAGGAAAAAAAGAAAGAAAAGCAAAUUCACCCCAACCCCAAAACCCCCCUUCUUCAAAAAAA